rnacentral:tRNA from 3 species
GCCCGGGUGGCGGAAUAGGCAGACGCAAGGGACUUAAAAUCCCUUGGGGCUUUGUCCCCGUGCGGGUUCAAUUCCCGCCCCGGGCACCA